rnacentral:rRNA from 1 species
UUUACCAGAGUACUAUGAACGUUGUAAAUUUAAAACUCAAAGAACUUGGCGGUGUUUUAGACCAUUUAGGGGAACCUGUCUCGUAAUCGAUAAUCCACGUUGUACCUGACCUUUUUUUGUUUUCAGUUUGUAUACCGUUGUCGUCAGGUAACUUUUUAGAAGAUAGAAGUUGGCCGGAAAAAUAAGUGAUUUAAUACGUCAAAUCAAGGUGCAGCUAAUAAGAAGGGGAGGAUGGGUUACAGUUAUAUAGUUAUAAUUACGAAUAAUUAUAUGUAAGUAUAAAUUAUGAAGGCGGACUUGAAAGUAAAUUAAAUUAUGAAAAUAACUUGAAUAAGGCUCUGAAACGUGU